GGUGGCUGCUAGAUCUCUAUAGCCAGCAGCUAGUUGUCUGCAGUUCUUACAUGGUCGCCCACUAAAGCUAAGUAGGGCUGUGCCCGGUCAGUACCUGGAUGGGAGACCACAUGAGAAAGCUAUGUUGCUGCCAGAA
ensembl:rRNA 5S_rRNA 5S ribosomal RNA